CUCAGUUGGUUCCUAGGUGGUAGAUUGUCCCUAAGCCCAUAAAAGUGGUCAUUAUCCCAUCUUCUCCACCAUUUGGUAGCAGGCGAUUUUCUCGGUGAACCCGACACCAAAUUUCCGGAUCUCGGUGAUAUUGACAUUAAAAUCGGCGAUUCUUGCAAUUCAUUAUACCAGAAAUUUUGAGUUUUCCACCUCUACAAGAACAUACCCAUCACCUGAAGGCCCUCAUUCAUAGAGUCGGAAGAUGAUGGUGGAGGAGACGGUGCGGAGGCGGAAGAGUGGAGAUCUCAGAGCGAAAAUCAAGGCGGCAAGUUUUUUGUAAAAUUCUAGAUGUUAGAUGAUGAUAGGGAUUUCGUAUUUCGUUGGUGCAAAUUUUGGGGAAAACGUUAUCGUAGCCUAAUUAGAAUGAUUUAUAUGGAAUAGUAAUUGAUUCAGGAAUGUUGAUUGAGAUGAGGAUUUGUUUGUAUGCGUAAAUGGUGUUAAGGUGAUUAUGAAUUAGAAUGUGAUGUAUUGGAUGUUCAGAUGCCGAUGUAAUGGUGUGGAGGGAGAAAAGAGUAUCAGUAGGAAUCCUUGGUGGUGCCACAACUAUUUGGUUUUUGUUUGAAGUGCUUGACUUCCAUUUUGUGUCCUUGUUUGAUGCUUGGUUCCGCUUGUCUCUUCUUGUGGUCCCUUCCUCAGCUGGUAUCAUUCAGCAGAACAUACCCAUCACCUGAAUGCCCUCAUUUUUAAAACAUUUUUUGCUCAUUUGAGAAGCUACCUACAAAGAUCUGGUUAACAAUUUGCACUAAAAAAUGUGUGAUUCUUCAAAAAUGUUUACUAUGUUUCAGUGCUUGGUGAUACCUUGACUAGCAAUCAUGGUUGAUGGUAGUGGAGAGAACUCUUUUUCGGCUGAAGAAUGGAUCUCGUGCGCUCAAGAGCUCGUCCCGAGGGCAUUGGGGAACGAAGGGAAGUGAAAGGGGGGAGGUCGAAGGUGAUCGUUUCAAAACUGGAGCAGGUGCCGUCUCGGCUUCUGAUCUAUCCAGCCAUCUUUGAUUUGUGUGUGAGAGAGAAAUACGAGGGGAAGCUUCGGAUGCAGAUGAUCUUGAUGCGAUAACUUGAAUCUUCCACACCCUCCUCCAGAUAGGCCCAUUUGGAGGCGAAGCACAAGGUGCUCGAGUGCCUAGUGGAGGUGAUGAAGGAGGACGAGAAGAAUGCGUUGCCAUGAUUGUAACGAGCAAUAUUGGAGCUUAUAUUGAUCCAUUUCACUUCGCCUCGGUCGAGAGAAGGGAUGGCGCGAAACCAUUUUUUUCGGAUGAAGUAUGAACCAGGGCAGAUGGGCAUUUCACUAUUGAAUUUAGGGUCAGCAUUGUCAUUUUCUAUCAUUUUACACGUGGGAAUUUGUAGAUAGGGUUGUACCAAACACACGUUAAUGAGUUUUCUUAAUGUGGGCAAUUUGUACCAAACAAUGUACAAUCUGAAAAACACUAUCCCACAAUAUGAGAAAAACUUAUAUCUGUAAACUUAUUAAAACCGCAUCAAUUCUACCAAUCACACCCUUAAUGUAGUUUUUGCA